AAAAGCAGGCAAAACCACAACAUCAUCCUUGUCAACAACAUCAAAGUUUUUCUUCCCUUCCUCAAGUGGAAUGUUCUUAACAUCCAUAUCCUCUAGCCUCUUAUUCACAGUGGGGUUGUGAAUAAUUUCAUUAGUUAUCCAAAUCCUCUCUGUUGGAAACUGUUUCCUCGCUUCAUAAGCAAUCUGAACUGCACGCUCAACCCCCCAACAGAAACCAUAGGACUCUGCAAGUUUUACGGUUACGUUUCCCCAUGUAUACUCAAAUUCAUUCUCCUUCAAUUUCUUGAUGAUAUCACUGGUAUAUUCGCGAUUCAUGAGUUCAAGAGUAGCUUCUUUGUGUCCAAAACCUUUACGAUUGUAAUUAGCACUUCUGGUCAGAUUCUUCCGGAAAACCUUAGCAUCGAACUCUGACUCAGCAGUAGCCGACGAGGAAGGAACAGGUUCGCCGGCGGAGCAUCUGAUGACGGAGAAAGGUUUCGGUAACCUGAAAGUUCUAGUCUCCGGCAAGGAGAGAUCUGUGCGAGUGGAUAUACUAGAGAAUUGAAGAGGAAUAGCCAUGGAAGGAGGAGAGCGCGCACGUGAGCGAAUUGCGUUUGUCGUAGCA
rnacentral:misc_RNA from 1 species